CUCCCAAGGCUAAAUACUAACUAGUGACCGAUAGCGAACAAGUACCGUGAGGGAAAGGUGAAAAGAACCCCGGAAGGGGAGUGAAAUAGUUCUUGAAACCGUGUGCUUACAAGAAGUUCGAGGCCGUUAAUGGCUGAGAGCGUGCUUUUUGUAGAAUGAACCGGAGAGUUACGAUUGCGUGCAAGGUUAAGGUGCAAAGACUGGAGCCGUAGCGAAAGCGAGUCUUAAUAGGGCGAAUCAGUACGUAGUUGUAGACCCGAAACCGAGUGACCUAUCCAUGGUCAGGUUGAAGGUGGGGUAAUACCUACUGGAGGACCGAACAAGUGGGUGUUAAAAAACCCUUUGAUGAACUGUGGAUAGCGGUGAAAUUCCAAUCGAACUCGGAGAUAGCUGGUUCUAUCCGAAAUACAUUUAGGUGUAGCCUUGCAAUUAGCUUACUGGAGGUAGAGCACUAUUUGGUCUAGGGGCCCUUCAAGGGUUACCAAAAUCAGAUAAACUCCGAAUGCCAGCUAAGUAUGUGCAGGAGUCAGACGGUGAGUGAUAAGAUCCAUCGUCAAAAGGGGAACAGCCCAGAUCACCAGUUAAGGUCCCUAAAUAUAUGCUAAGUGGAAAACGUUGUGAAGGUGCAUAGACAACUAGGAGGUUGGCUCAGAAGCAGCCACCCUUUAAAGAGUGCGUAAUAGCUCACUAGUCGAGUGCUCUUGCGCGGAUAAUGUACCGGGGCUAAGCAUAUUACCGAAACUGUGGAUGCGUAAGCAUGGUAGGAUAGCGUAAUUAACGCGAUGAAGGAUGACCGUAAGGACAUGUUGGAGCGUUAACUAGUGAGAAUUCCGGUAUGAGUAGCGAAAGAUAGGUGAGAAUCCUAUCCACCGAAUGAGUAAGGUUUCCCCCGGAAGGCUCGUCCGCGGGGGGUUAGUCGGGACCUAAGGCGAGGCUGAAAAGCGUAGUCGAUGGACAACAGGUUGAUAUUCCUGUACCGAUAUUUAAUUGCCGAAGGAAGGACGCAGAAGGAUAACACAGGCCACUAUUGGAUGUGGUUUUAAACAGUUAGUCUUCAUAAGAGUCAAAUGCUUUUAUGUUUAAGGAUAAGCUGUGAAUGUACCAAGUUUACUUGGAAAUUGUGUGAUUUCACGCUGCUGAAAAAAGUUUCGUAGGAAGAAAAUAUUGCCCGUACCGCAAACCGACACAGGUACUCAAGUGGAGAACACUAAGGUGAGCGAGUGAACUAUUGUUAAGGAACUCUGCAAAAUGAGUCCGUAACUUCGGAAGAAGGACUGCUGGUUUUAUACCAGCCGCAGCAAAUAGGCCCAAACAACUGUUUAUCAAAAACACAGGUUUCUGCAAAAUCGUAAGAUGAAGUAUAGGGGCUGACGCCUGCCCAGUGCUGGAAGGUUAAAAGGAGGACUUAGCUUCGGCGAAGGUCUUAAU
rnacentral:rRNA from 1 species